rnacentral:rRNA from 1 species
UGAGCAACCUGCCCUUGACCCUGGAAUAACAGCUGGAAACAGCUGCUAAUACCGGAUACGACCUCCGAUGGCAUCAUCUGGAGGUGGAAAGCUCCGACGGUCAAGGAUGGGCUCGCGGCCUAUCAGCUUGUUGGUGAGGUAAUGGCUCACCAAGGCGACGACGGGUAGCCGGCCUGAGAGGGUGACCGGCCACACUGGGACUGAGACACGGCCCAGACUCCGUAGGA